GAUGAAGAACGCAGCGAAAUGCGAUAAUUAAUGUGAAUUGCAGAAUUCAGUGAAUCAUCGAGUCUUUGAACGCACAUUGCGCCCCCUGGUAUUCCGGGGGGCAUGCCUGUCCGAGCGUCAUUGCUGCCCUCAAGCCCGGCUUGUGUGUUGGGCCCUGCUCCCCCGGGGGCAGGCCCGAAAGGCAGUGGCGGCACCGCGUCCGAUCCUCGAGCGUAUGGGGCUUUGUCACCCGCUCUGUAGGCCCGGCCGGCGCUUGCCGACCCCCAUCAAUCUUUUUUCAGGUUGACCUCGGAUCAGGUAGGGAUACCCGCUGAACUUAAGCAUAUCAAUAGCGGAGGA
rnacentral:misc_RNA from 1 species